GAUGAACGCUGGCGGCGUGCCUAAUACAUGCAAGUCGAGCGAACAGACGAGGAGCUUGCUCCUUUGACGUUAGCGGCGGACGGGUGAGUAACACGUGGGUAACCUACCUAUAAGACUGGGAUAACUUCGGGAAACCGGAGCUAAUACCGGAUAAUAUUUCGAACCGCAUGGUUCGAUAGUGAAAGAUGGCUUUGCUAUCACUUAUAGCUGGACCUGCGCCGUAUUAGCUAGUUGGUAAGGUAACGGCUUACCAAGGCAACGAUACGUAGCCGACCUGAGAGGGUGAUCGGCCACACGGGAACGGAGACACGGUCCAGAGGCCUACGGGAGGCAGCAGUAGGGAAUCUGCCGCAAUGGGCGAAAGCCUGACGGAGUAACGCCGCGUGAGUGAUGAAGGUCUUCGGAUCGUAAAACUCUGUUAUUAGGGAAGAACAAACGUGGAAGUAACUGUGCACGGCGUGACGGUACCUAAUCAGAAAGCCACGGCUAACUACGUG
rnacentral:rRNA from 1 species